rnacentral:rRNA from 1 species
AUUGAACGCUGGCGGCAUGCUUUACACAUGCCAGUCGAACGGUAACAGGCCUUCGGGUGCUGACGAGUGGCGAACGGGUGAGUAAUGCAUCGGAACGUGCCCAGAGGGGGGGGAUAACGCAGCGAAAGCUGUGCUAAUACCGCAUGUGAUCUGAGGAUGAAAGCGGGGGACCAAGCAGCAAUGUUUGGCCUCGCGCCUCUGGAGCGGCCGAUGUCAGAUUAGGUAGUUGGUGGGGUAAAGGCCUACCAAGCCGACGAUCUGUAGCUGGUCUGAGAGGACGACCAGCCACACUGGGACUGAGACACGGCCCAGACUCCUACGGGAGGCAGCAGUGGGGAAUUUUGGACAAUGGGCGCAAGCCUGAUCCAGCAAUGCCGCGUGCGGGAAGAAGGCCUUCGGGUUGUAAAACGCUUUUGUACGGAACGAAAAGGCUCUGGCUAAUACCUGGGGCUGAUGACGGUACCGUAAGAAUAAGCACCGGCUAACUACGUG